CGAAGCAUGAUCGCAAGGACAUGUGGAGCGCUUAGAAGUGAGAAUGCCGGUGUGAGUAGCGAAAGACGGGUGAGAAUCCCGUCCACCGAUUGACUAAGGUUUCCAGAGGAAGGCUCGUCCGCUCUGGGUUAGUCGGGUCCUAAGCUGAGGCCGACAGGCGUAGGCGAUGGAUAACAGGUUGAUAUUCCUGUACCACCUAGUAUCGUUUUAAUCGAUGGGGGGACGCAGUAGGAUAGGCGAAGCGUGCUGUUGGAGUGCACGUCCAAGCAGUAAGGCUGAGUGUUAGGCAAAUCCGGCACUCAUAAGGCUGAGCUGUGAUGGGGAGAGGAAAUUGUUUCCUCGAGUCGUUGAUUUCACACUGCCGAGAAAAGCCUCUAGAUAGAUAACAGGUGCCCGUACCGCAAACCGACACAGGUAGUCAAGAUGAGAAUUCUAAGGUGAGCGAGCGAACUCUCGUUAAGGAACUCGGCAAAAUGACCCCGUAACUUCGGGAGAAGGGGUGCUCUUUAGGGUUCACGCCCAGAAGAGCCGCAGUGAAUAGGCCCAAGCGACUGUUUAUCAAAAACACAGGUCUCUGCUAAACCGUAAGGUGAUGUAUAGGGGCUGACGCCUGCCCGGUGCUGGAAGGUUAAGAGGAGUGGUUAGCUUCUGCGAAGCUACGAAUCGAAGCCCCAGUAAACGGCGGCCGUAACUAUAACGGUCCUAAGGUAGCGAAAUUCCUUGUCGGGUAAGUUCCGACCCGCACGAAAGGCGUAACGAUUUGGGCACUGUCUCAACGAGAGACUCGGUGAAAUCAUAGUACCUGUGAAGAUGCAGGUUACCCGCGACAGGACGGAAAGACCCCGUGGAGCUUUACUGUAGCCUGAUAUUGAAAUUCGGCACAGCUUGUACAGGAUAGGUAGGAGCCUUUGAAACGUGAGCGCUAGCUUACGUGGAGGCGUUGGUGGGAUACUACCCUAGCUGUGUUGGCUUUCUAACCCGCACCACUUAUCGUGGUGGGAGACAGUGUCAGGCGGGCAGUUUGACUGGGGCGGUCGCCUCCUAAAAGGUAACGGAGGCGCUCAAAGGUUCCCUCAGAAUGGUUGGAAAUCAUUCAUAGAGUGUAAAGGCAUAAGGGAGCUU
rnacentral:rRNA from 1 species